rnacentral:rRNA from 1 species
CUACGGAGGGUGCAAGCGUUACUCGGAAUCACUGGGCGUAAAGGACGCGUAGGCGGGUUGUCAAGUCUGAUGUGAAAUCCUAUGGCUCAACCAUAGAACUGCAUUGGAAACUGGCAACCUAGAGUAUGGGAGGGGGAGAUGGAAUUAGUGGUGUAGGGGUAAAAUCCGUAGAUAUCACUAGGAAUACCGAAAGCGAAGGCGAUCUCCUGGAACAUAACUGACGCUAAGGCGUGAAAGCGUGGGGAGCAAACGGGAGGAGAAACCCCAGUAGUCC